rnacentral:misc_RNA from 1 species
GAUGAAGAACGCAGCGAAAUGCGAUAAGUAGUGUGAAUUGCAGAAUUCAGUGAAUCAUCGAAUCUUUGAACGCACAUUGCGCCCUUUGGUAUUCCUUAGGGCAUGCCUGUUCGAGCGUCAUUUCAAACUUCAAGCCCCCCUCAUGGCUUGGUGUUGGGCGUCUGUCCUCCCCCCGGGACUCGCCUCAAAUGCAUUGGCAGCCGGCACGUUGGCUUCGAGCGCAGCAGAAACGCGCGCGGCGUCCGACGGUGCCUGGCUCUCCAGGAAGCCUCCCCCCAAGUUUGACCUCGGAUCAGGUAGGGAUACCCGCUGAACUUAAGCAUAUCAAUAAGCGGAGGA